rnacentral:lncRNA from 1 species
CUUCAACCACCUGAAAGAAAAAAGCUUGAUCUUGUCCAAUAAAAUAUGAGGUGUGCCCGUUGAGCCUUUGAACAACCGAUGAUUUCUCUCUGUCCAUAUCACCCAAACACAAGCAAGCCACACAAGCUGCAAAAAGGACCGUCUCGCUCGAGAUCCGCCUAAUGAGGCCGUAAACUGAACAAAAUGAUCACGCAGAGAAGUGGAGUCCACCAAUGUAAUGUCAACCCAUGCGCGAACUAAAUCCCAAAGCGAUCCAG